AAAAAACUGUUCUUUCCACUUCUCUCUCUGUGGUAGAUUAAAGAUAGCCACAAAUUCUUUGCUAUUCCUCCCAUCAAGAAAUGGAGUCUCUUUCCCAUCUCAAAUCUAGGCAUGUCCUGUGACUUGCUUUGGCCAGUAGAACAUGGCAGAAAUGACGGAGGGCUUGUUCUGGGCCAAGCCUUUGAGAAGCCUGGCAGCUUCCACUACAUAGGGGGAAGCCAGCUAGCAGUGAAAAAGUCUCGCAAUUCUGAGACUCCUGGGCGAGGGCCUAGCUAGCCAUGUGGAGAAGCCACCCAGCAAACAACUGAGGGCCCAGACAUAUGACCCCAGCUGAGCCAUCCCCGCCAAUAUUCCCAGUCAUUUCAAGCGACCCAGCCAAGCAUCCAGACACCGUGGAGCAGACAAGCCCUCCCCGCUGUGCCUCUCCAAAUGCCUGAAUCACAAAAUCAUAAGUAGAAUAGCUACUGCUUCAAACCACUAAGUUCUGGGGGUAGUUCUUACUCAGCAAUAGGUAACCAAAAGCCUCUAUGCUGUUCUUUUUCUCCCCCUUCCCUGAAAAAUAAGAAGACGUUACUGGGAUGUGUAGUCUGACAGAGUUGGCUUUUAUUACAAAUCCUGUAGCCGCAGUGCUGACCAUGCAAACUAACAUUCUGACCCAAAAGAUACACUGUGCCAAACACUCAGAAAGCUAUCUUCCUAGAAACUUCCAGCUAAGUAUUGUCAGGGAGCCAAUAGCGCAUGGGUGUUUUCGAGCUGGAAAUAAUCAGGUCAUUAUUGAAUUUGGAAAACCAGAUUGCCAGCCCCUGACAUCACAAAAGGAUUGCUCUUCUCUGGAACCUACUCUGCAUGAGUUCAUCCAGAGGCUGGACCCUCAAAGGGAUACACCCUGGGUCAUCCACCUGGUCCUAUAUGCCCAUCUCGGUCCCAGCUACCAUGACUGGGGAGUGUCUGGGAGUCAUCGAGGGGCUGAAAGAGCUGGCCAAGUUGGAUCGGCACUCCUCUGUAAAAUGUCAAAUGAAGACUACACCAGGGCUUCUUCAACCUUAGCAUGUGUAAGAAGACUUUGGCAGCUUGUCAAAAUGCAGAUUCCUACACACCCCCAGAGCAUCUGGCUCAGUAAGUCUGGGGUAGAGACCAAGAUGCUUGAACUCAAACAAGCCACCAGUUAGUGCUGAUGCAGCUGGUCUGGGAACCACCCUUUGACCAGCACUGGCCUACACCAGUAGCCUCUUCAGUGAAGGCUGGCAUCUCACCUUUAAAGAUUCCUUUCCCGGGGUAAAGAAAUGUGCAAAUUAAAUAUACCAGUCCAUGUGACCAACUAAAGAAAACUGUAUUCUUAUUUUGGGUUUCAGUUCAAUUCGCCAAACUUACUCUGCUGUCUUGCACUAUGUCCACUGAAGACAUCAGAUUUACCCUCAAGAAGAUUCCUACCUCUACAUGUAUGUAAAUACCAAGGCAAAUUAUAAUGAGACUGUGAUAUAACAAACACCAAAAAUGAAGCCCAAACUCCUAGUGGAUGCUAGCAUUCAGGGAAUGUCAAAGCAAAGAUGAAC
ensembl:lncRNA